UAAUACUCCAUAGGUCACGAGAUCUGGAAAGACUUGUGGCUCAAAGUUCAGGCGCUCUAGGAUUGGUCUGCGGCCUAUCAGGUAGUAGUGGGUGUAACGGACCCACUAGCCGAUGACGGGUAUGGGCCUUGAGAGAGGGAGCCCAGAGAUGGAUUCUGAGACACGAAUCCAGGCCCUACGGGGCGCAGCAGUCGCGAAAACUUCACAAUGGAGGCAACUCCGAUGAGGGAAUUCCUAGUGCCAAUGCAUUUUGUGUUGGCUUUUCUUCAGCGUAGAUAACUGAUGGAAUAAGGGCUGGGUAAGACGGGUGCCAGCCGCCGCGGUAAUACCCGCAGCCCAAGUGGUGGUCGAUAUUAUUGAGUCUAAAACGUUCGUAGCCGGUUCAAUAAAUCUCUGGGUAAAUCGGAGGGCUCAACCUUCCGAAUUCCGGAGCGACUGUUGAACUUGGGACCGGGAGAGGCAAGAGGUACUUCUGGGGUAGGGGUAAAAUCCUGUAAUCCUAGAAGGACCACCGGUGGCGAAGGCGUCUUGCUAGAACGGAUCCGACGGUGAGGGACGAAGCCCUGGGUCGCAAACGGGAUUAGAUACCCCGGUAGUCCAGGUGUAAACGCUGCCGACUUGGUGU
rnacentral:rRNA from 1 species